UACGUAGGGUGCGAGCGUUGUUCGGAAUUAUUGGGCGUAAAGAGUUUGUAGGCGGUUUGUCGCGUCUGCUGUGAAAAUCCGGGGCUCAACCCCGGACUUGCAGUGGGUACGGGCAGACUAGAGUGUGGUAGGGGAGACUGGAAUUCCUGGUGUAGCGGUGAAAUGCGCAGAUAUCAGGAGGAACACCGAUGGCGAAGGCAGGUCUCUGGGCCAAUACUGACGCUGAGAAGCGAAAGCAUGGGGAGCGAGCAGG
rnacentral:rRNA from 1 species